rnacentral:rRNA from 1 species
UACGAAGGAUCCAAGCGUUAUCCGGAUUCAUUGGGUUUAAAGGGAGCGUAGGCGGACUUAUAAGUCAGUGGUGAAAGCCGAUAGCUUAACUAUCGAAUUGCCAUUGAUACUGUAGGUCUAGAGUACAGAUGAUGUUGGCGGAAUAUGACAUGUAGCGGUGAAAUGCAUAGAUAUGUCAUAGAACACCGAUUGCGAAGGCAGCUGACAAAACUGUAACUGACGCUGAGGCUCGAAAGUGCGGGGAUCAAACAGG